rnacentral:lncRNA from 1 species
AGCCUUUUCCCAGCCGGCCAGUGGGGGAGCAGCCACUGCGGGUCCCUGGGUCUUGGUGAGACGGUCAAGGAUGGGCCCGUGAUGGAGACCGGCGUGCAGCCAUGUCCAUGGCUGAAGAAGCAUACAGGCCAGGUGGGAGGACGUCUUUCAAAAGCAGCCUUUCCCCUGAGCCCUCACCACCAACCCGGAGACCACCGUGGGCUGGAGCCCAGCACGGCCACCAUUGCAUCUUAGCCAUGGAGUUCAGGACAGACGCUAUCCACCCCCACCAAGUGGAGAUGGAUGCUGUGGCCAGUACCCCACUCCUCAGGUGGAUGGACAUAGAGACAAAAAUGUUGAGUGGAUAUGUCCAGGCUGAAUGAAUAUCCCCAACUCAUCUGGCCCUACACGGUGUAAAAGUCUUGGAGGAAAGAGCCCUGGAGGAGCCAGCUCUGAGUUUCCUAGGGAUGAGAAGAGGUGAUGUGGAUUCUGCCCUGCAGACUCAGGUUCUUGCAGAAGUGUUGGUGCAGAUGGCAGGAAGCCAUGGUGAGGCUGAAAUCAAGAGGAAGCCUGGAGGGUUGUAACCCAGCUGGCUCCCAGUCUGUGCCCAAGGGCAGCAUGUCCUCUGGAGGGCCUGAUACACUGGCAAGGGACAAUACACUGAAAGGCUAUAAUUCUUUGUUCUUUGGUUGCACAGAGGGGUCCAGAGCCCAUGUGUGUCUUGGAAGGAACAAGCCCAGGCCUGCGGUUGUGUGUGGGAAGUGGGCUAUCCCUGGGAGCAGCACUGUAGUAGGAGUUGGGGCACUGUAAGCAGCAUCUAGGGAAGUGGAUGGAGGCACACAGUCAGCAAAGGGUGACAGAGAAGGGGCUCUGGAUACAGGGCAUCAGCAGGCCUGGGCUGGCCAUAUUCACUCAUCCUCCAUGAAGAAGGAAAACACAUCCACACAAAAGUGCCCAGCAGCACCAGUCACCGGGUUAAAGGGCAGAAAUAACCCAUGAAUCUGCUGAUGAAUGAAUGGAUGGAUAGAACGAGUCCAUACCUACAGGGGAAUAUUACCAGGCCAUAAAAAGGGAAGGAGCCCCUGAACACACUAUCAUGUGGAUGAAGCUUGAGGACACUGUGAUCAGUGAAAUAAGCCAGGCAAGGAAAAACAAAUCCUAUGGGACUCUACCAGAUGAGGUCCCCAGAACUGUCACAUUCAGAGACUGAGAUAGGGUGGGGUGGGUGGCGGUGGGAGAGGGAGCCACAGAUAAAGGGUACAGAGUUGUUUUGGGUGCAAUAAAAUGUUCUCAGAUCACUCAAAGAGGCAGGUACAACUCUAGCAAUACACCAAGGCUGUAGAAUCGUAUCCUCUAAGUGGGUAGAUUGUAUAGUAUAUAAUCUACAUCUCAAUAAAGCUGUUGAUAAACAGAUAUGACUGUCCCAAGGCCAGAAUUCUU